rnacentral:RNase_P_RNA from 1 species
GAAGCAAUUUACGACGAUGCCAACGAAGCUCUCCGGAUGAAAUCAAUCAGGUACAAGAGGGGAGGAAAGUCCGGACUCCAGCAGGGAGGAUGGCUCCUAACGGGAGCAGUCUGCAAAGACUGGAAAGUGCCGCAGAAAUACACAGCCCUCCACAGCUGUAUCACUGAUACGAAUAGCGGCGGAGGGCGAAGGUGAAAUGGCGAGGUAAGAGCUCACCUUCCGCCGGGCGACCGGCGGAACAGGCAAACCCCAUCCGGAGCAAGGUCAAGCAGAACCUACGGGUCCCUGCCUCUACAGGUUCGGGUUGACCGCGCGAGCCCCUGAGCGAUCAGGGGCCGAGAUGAAUGGCCGUUUAAACAGAAUCCGGCUUAUGAACUGCCCCUUUU